UUGACAUGUUAAAAAAAACGG
rnacentral:piRNA from 1 species